UACGUAGGGGGCAAGCGUUGUCCGGAAUCAUUGGGCGUAAAGCGCGUGUAGGCGGUCCGAUAAGUUCGCUGUGAAAGUCGGGGGCUUAACCCUCGGAUGCCGGUGAAUACUGUCGGGCUUGAGUACGGAAGAGGCGAGUGGAAUUCCUGGUGUAGCGGUGAAAUGCGCAGAUAUCAGGAGGAACACCGAUUGCGAAGGCAGCUCGCUGGGACGUUACUGACGCUGAGACGCGAAAGCGUGGGGAGCAAACAGG
rnacentral:rRNA from 1 species